GAUGAACGCUGGCGGCGUGCCUAAUACAUGCAAGUCGAGCGAACAGACGAGGAGCUUGCUCCUCUGACGUUAGCGGCGGACGGGUGAGUAACACGUGGAUAACCUACCUAUAAGACUGGGAUAACUUCGGGAAACCGGAGCUAAUACCGGAUAAUAUAUUGAACCGCAUGGUUCAAUAGUGAAAGACGGUUUUGCUGUCACUUAUAGAUGGAUCCGCGCCGCAUUAGCUAGUUGGUAAGGUAACGGCUUACCAAGGCAACGAGGCGUAGCCGACCUGAGAGGGUGAUCGGCCACAUUGGAACGGAGACACGGUCCAGACUCCUACGGGAGGGAGCAGUAGGGAAUCUUCCGCAAUGGGCGAAAGUCUGACGGAGCAACGCCGCGUGAGUGAUGGAGGUCUUCGGAUCGUAAAACUCUGUUAUUAGGGAAGAACAAAUGUGGAAGUAACUAUGCACGUCUUGACGGUACCUAAUCAGAAAGCCACGGCUAACUACGUG
rnacentral:rRNA from 1 species